AAGAGCUGCGCUCUAAAAACAAUGUCGUGUCACACACACACUUACUUCACAUCCGAUGGGGGGAAGGGCGAGAGGGAGGGCUUGUCCUCACUACAGUGUGACACCUGCCCUGUGUGUUCCGACUGUUUUUCAAAGCCCAGCCGGCCCAGCUGACUGAACACCCGCAAACGCUUUUCCCAUUUUGUGAGGUGGCGCUUCGCUUCCUCUCCCCCUCCCGCUUCCUGCCGUUGAGGCGGCUGCACUGGCUGGUCAAGUAUAUCCAACCAAGUUCUCGGUGUUUUAGUGCACCAUCUGUAGAAGAUGUGCUCUAAAUCCUCGUCCUCAAGGCCACACAGUCUACAUGUCGCAUCUUCGCCGAAGAGCUCCAGUCUCCUCUUCUGUGUCAGCAGGGCGCCGGUCCGAGCCUGGAAGAAGAGGGCACUUGCUCCGUCUCUUCGGUACUGGUGGUAGGGAGCCGGUUUUGUGACGACGGCAGGUGCAGCAGGGUGAAGAGAGAUGAGCUAGGGAUAC